UACGAAGGGGGCUAGCGUUGUUCGGAAUCACUGGGCGUAAAGGGUGCGUAGGCGGCCGUGCAAGUCUGGCGUGAAAGCCCCGGGCUCAGCCCGGGAAGUGCGCUCGAAACUGCGCGGCUCGAGUGCCGGAGGGGAGAGUGGAAUUCCUGGUGUAGCGGUGAAAUGCGUAGAUAUCUGGAGGAACACCGGUGGCGAAGGCGGCAUCCUGGACCAAUUCUGACGCUGAGGAGCGAAAGCGUGGGGAGCGAACAGG
rnacentral:rRNA from 1 species